rnacentral:pre_miRNA from 1 species
UCAAUAUCAGGUGAAGUCCAAUAGGGAGGGCAUCGCAGGUGAUUGACAAGCACUGCGGUCCAACCUAUUGGUCAAUACC